AUUGAACGCUGGCGGCAGGCCUAACACAUGCAAGUCGAGCGAGGGGCGGACGGGUGAGUAAUGUGUGGGGGUCUGCCCGCUGGGGGGGGAUAACUGCUAGAAACGGUGGUUCAUACCGCGUCUUGUGGGGUCAACCCAGAUGGGAUUAGCUAGUAGGUAAGUUAAUGGCUUACCUAGGCGACGAUCCCUAGCUGGUCUGAGAGGAUGAUCAGCCACACUGGGACUGAGACACGGCCCAGACUCCUACGGGAGGCAGCAGUGGGGAAUAUUGCACAAUGGGCGCAAGCCUGAUGCAGCCAUGCCGCGUGUAUGAAGAAGGCCCUAGGGUUGUAAAGUACUUUCAGUCGGGAGGCGUUACCGACAGAAGAAGCACCGGCUAACUCCGUGCCAGCAGCCGCGGUAAUUC
rnacentral:rRNA from 1 species